AGAAGCAGCCAUCAUUUAAAGAAAGCGUAAUAGCUCACUGGUCGAGUCGGCCUGCGCGGAAGAUGUAACGGGGCUAAACCAUGCACCGAAGCUGCGGCAGCGACACUGUGUGUUGUUGGGUAGGGGAGCGUUCUGUAAGCCUGUGAAGGUGUGUCGUGAGGCAUGCUGGAGGUAUCAGAAGUGCGAAUGCUGACAUAAGUAACGAUAAAGCGGGUGAAAAGCCCGCUCGCCGGAAGACCAAGGGUUCCUGUCCAACGUUAAUCGGG
rnacentral:rRNA from 1 species